CGUAGGGUGCAAGCGUUAAUCGGAAUUACUGGGCGUAAAGCGUGCGCAGGCGGUUUUGUAAGUCUGAUGUGAAUCCCCGGGCUCAACCUGGGAAUUGCAUUGGAGACUGCAAGGCUAGAAUCUGGCAGAGGGGGGUAGAAUUCCACGUGUAGCAGUGAAAUGCGUAGAUAUGUGGAGGAACACCGAUGGCGAAGGCAGCCCCCUGGGUCAAGAUUGACGCUCAUGCACGAAAGCGUGGGGAGCAAACAGGAUUAGAUACCCUGGUAGUCCACGCCCUAAACGAUGUCUACUAGUUGUCGGGUCUUAAUUGACUUGGUAACGCAGCUAACGCGUGAAGUAGACCGCCUGGGGAGUACGGUCGCAAGGAUUA
rnacentral:rRNA from 1 species